rnacentral:snRNA from 18 species
GUAUCUAUCAUUUUAUUUUUGAGGCCUUCUACAAGACCUUAAGAACAACUUUUGGAGACCCUGUCCUAAUAUUUGGGGCAGAGUA